rnacentral:lncRNA from 1 species
ACUUAGAUAUAAAACACAUGAACUGAGUUGUCAGCAAACAACAAAAUCUCUUGCAGUUCCCUGUCAGCCCACCACCGCCAUAGUGAGAAAACCGAUCAUUAUUAUUUUCCAAUUUUCUUUCCCUUCUCACUGAGACGUGGGCGUCCGUGAUAAUGCAAUUUGGGGUUGUGAAUUAUGUAAAAAACAAAUUUAUCAUACACAUUUUCUCUUUUCUUGUUACUAUCUUGUUUGGUAUAUCUAGAUAGAAACGAUAUAUUUUCAAAAAUAAUAAAACAAUUAGUUGACAUAUUUAAUAAAUUGAGAUUGUUCUAGCCUACGAGAUUUAGUGAAAAAUGUUGUGAAAUGGUCGGUUAUAACAUUGCUAUACCAUUAUCUAUACCACUGCAUAACACUAGAAUUUGAACAUACAGUUAUCUUCAACGAAGCGAGCAAUUGGCGACACUAGGUAUAAGACAUGUUCUUGUACCAUGCCAUUCCAUUGUCUAGUUUCAAUUAUUAAGCUUAAUCAAUACUUCUCUGUCUCAACUUAGUUUUCGUUUCUUUGAAUUGAGUUAAGACAUUAAAUGACUGAUAUUUGUCUAAUUUAGUUUACAAAGUUGUUUACAUUUUAUCAGGUUAAAUUUCUUUCUUAAAUAAAAAAGAGUGUUUGAGUUUGGACUUUCUGCAAUUUCAAUAGAUGUUGUUUAUAACUUGUUUGCUAUUUGGAGGGGUGAUAGCCUUAGAGUUAUAUAUGAGUUGAUUUGUAUCAUUUUCUUUUGGUAUAGAUUUUUCAUAUUGUUGUGGUUGAUUGAUGUUUUUUUUAACAUACAAAAAUGUCAUUUUUGUUACUUUUCCAUUUCCCUAGUAAUCUAUUUUUCUUCAUUCAUGCCUAAACCGACUAUAACCUGCAUUUGACAAUGUGAGAGUGGAGUCUUGCCUUGCAACUGUAACCUUCCACAUUUGUCUGACAGCUGUUGUUUGUCCUCAAUUGCUGCUAGUGUGAUUGUCCUUCAACUUAUACUUUAUUCGACCAUUCAAAUAGUUAUUAGUAGUGAACAAAACACUUAACUUUCAAUACGGAUAAUAAUAUUCUAAAUUCAUACCUGGAGAGAGGAAAAAAGCAAUGUCGGGAGUGAAAAAUAAUUAAAAAAAUUUGUAAAAUAAAUUUUAGUCUUUGUACACAUUCAAACUACAUGACAAUGAUAACACGACAACUACAAUUCUACUAAGAAAAAG